rnacentral:rRNA from 1 species
CGGGACGGGUGAGUAACGCGUGGAAAACCUGCCGUAUACUGGGGGAUAACACUUAGAAAUAGGUGCUAAUACCGCAUAAGCGCACAGCUUCGCAUGAAGCGGUGUGAAAAACUCUGGUGGUAUACGAUGGUUCUGCGUCUGAUUAGCUAGUUGGUGGGGUAAUGGCCUACCAAGGCAACGAUCAGUAGCCGGCCUGAGAGGGUGAACGGCCACAUUGGGACUGAGACACGGCCCAAACUCCUACGGAAGGCAGCAG